AGAAGGUUCCAAGGGUCUUAGUGCUGGAAUGAGGGAUACCCCAGCCUUCCUUCCUGCUGCUGCAGCAUGUGAGAUUGUAGCAUGUGAGAACCUGGCGUUUAUACUCUCACCCCUUCCUGACCUUCUUCUUGGUCUUCCCAACAGAGUGCGUCCCACUCUUUGGUUAAAGGACUAAGGGGGAGCCUGUCCCUGACUGGCAGCGCCAUUUCAGUCUUGGAGCCAGAGGGAAAGGGGGCGUGGCAAGGAGAAAAGCUCUCAGCACUGACUCCUCCCCUCUGCUCACUUCUCCACCUUUCUUCCUUUCCCCUCCCCUGCUACUUCUGGCCUCUAUAACAUGAGCCCCUCCCACUCUUGAUGAGAUGAACUGAAACCCCUGGAAACCGAGACC
rnacentral:lncRNA from 1 species